CUUGUUUCGAAAUUCACUCUGUAUACCGUAAAGUAGCUCCGAGGCAUAAAGCACGUCAACCAGGCUUCGCAUUUUUACUGACCGUUUUGAGAUUGAUAAGCACAAAAACCUACAGCAUGCUCCGGUCAUUCUCCUCUUCAACAUUCUUUCUUAUUAUAGCUUGCCUUUUCAGACAUGGUGAUACUAACACAUGCGGGACUAAACAAAUGCGAACGCCUGCAGGGCUCAACAGUAUUGGAUGCGAGCCUAUCUGCGACAGCCCGUUACCUCUAACAGGCUUAUACUCCAAUUUUCCACAGUUGGUACAGAAUAUAAAAGUUCUUCGUCCUGAGGGACACUUGUGCCUUGUGA